GUCGAGCGAAUGGAUUAAGAGCUUGCUCUUAUGAAGUUAGCGGCGGACGGGUGAGUAACACGUGGGUAACCUGCCCAUAAGACUGGGAUAACUCCGGGAAACCGGGGCUAAUACCGGAUAACAUUUUGAACCGCAUGGUUCGAAAUUGAAAGGCGGCUUCGGCUGUCACUUAUGGAUGGACCCGCGUCGCAUUAGCUAGUUGGUGAGGUAACGGCUCACCAAGGCAACGAUGCGUAGCCGACCUGAGAGGGUGAUCGGCCACACUGGGACUGAGACACGGCCCAGACUCCUACGGGAGGCAGCAGUAGGGAAUCUUCCGCAAUGGACGAAAGUCUGACGGAGCAACGCCGCGUGAGUGAUGAAGGCUUUCGGGUCGUAAAACUCUGUUGUUAGGGAAGAACAAGUGCUAGUUGAAUAAGCUGGCACCUUGACGGUACCUAACCAGAAAGCCACGGCUAACUACGUGCCAGCAGCCGCGGUAAUACGUAGGUGGCAAGCGUUAUCCGGAAUUAUUGGGCGUAAAGCGCGCGCAGGUGGUUUCUUAAGUCUGAUGUGAAAGCCCACGGCUCAACCGUGGAGGGUCAUUGGAAACUGGGAGACUUGAGUGCAGAAGAGGAAAGUGGAAUUCCAUGUGUAGCGGUGAAAUGCGUAGAGAUAUGGAGGAACACCAGUGGCGAAGGCGACUUUCUGGUCUGUAACUGACACUGAGG
rnacentral:rRNA from 1 species